rnacentral:lncRNA from 1 species
CAGCAGUUUUGACCCGUUUCUUCCAUCUUUAUUCCCAGCACUCAGUUGGUAUCCGGAGGGAUGCGUUUGCUCCAGGACAUCCCUGCGUUGCCAAGCUCAGGACUUCCUCGCUGUUCCUCAAGGUUUAUCCAAUGUGACGGAGCUGGAUUUGAAUCAAAAUAAAAUCUCUUCCCUGCUGGACUACCAAUUCAUUGACAACAAAGGGCUGGAGUAUCUCUUCUUAAAAGACAAUGGGAUCCAGACGAUAUCCAAGACCGCCUUUUCUGGACUCUCCAAACUCCGGAGGCUGUGAGUAGGAUGUUUUCCGUGUCAAAAUGGGGAAAUGUGCUAUAGCAUGACAAAAUUUUGGCAAUUUAAUAAAAAAAUUGCAUGUUAUUAUGAUAGAAAAAAUUAGGAAAUGGCAUUGAUAACCCAGGAACACACUGUAAUUAGCAAAGCAAUGCAUUAAGCCUUUAAGGCCGAUACUAGAUUAGGACAAUAGCACAGCAUCAUCUGCAUAUAAGAAUAAGGGAAUAAUAAUAAUAAUAAUAAUAAUAAUAAUAAUAAUAAUAAUAAUAGUAAUUCACACUUUCUUGGUUUCUUUCAGAUAUCUGAGCUCUAACUCCAUCACAGAUCUGGAGCUUGGCGUUUUCCAGGAUUUACAAAACCUCAAAUGGCUAAUCCUGGACAACAACCGAUUGGCCCAGAUCUUCCCGUCUGUCUUUAUGGGACUGAAAUCUCUGGUGUUUCUGUAAGUAUAGAAUCAGAUCCUUAUUGUUGUUGUUGUUAUCGUUACAAUUUCGUCAUCCUUACGUAUAGGGCAAUUUGCCUCUUGCUUUGUGUUUCCAUCCAGGGACCUUCGCGGCAACUUUUUGCAAGAAAUGCCCGGGGCUUCCAUCUGUGCGGAAACGCCGAAGCUCAAUUGGCUGUAAGUUUCCCCUUCUUGUUGCAUUUAUCCGGCCCCUUAUUGCCUUUCUUGCAAUCGAGGAAAUGCAGAAAAGCCUUGAUGAAGGAACGCAAAGAACAGUGACAUAUUCUCAUGCAAAUAAUUGUCCCUCUGCAAAUUAUUAUUUGAUUUAAUUUAUUAUUAAUUAAACAAGUCAUUAUUAUAAUCAUAUUAUCAAUUAUUAAUGUGUUGAUGAUUAAUUAUGAUUAAAUUCAUAAUUAUUUCUCUGCAAAUCUAAUUAUUUGCAGAGGAUGAUAAAAUAUCACUAUUCUUCGCAUUGUGAUGGGAGUUUCAGCCCAUUGAGAGAUAUUUUUUUGGCUGCCGUAAAAUUGUUCACAUAUCAACACACUUUGUGAAAAAUUCCGUAAAAGAGAGUGCUUUGAUUUUGGGGGGGGGGGGGCAAAUUACAUAUCCUUUGCUUAAAAAAAAUGAAAACAAUGAUGAUGAUGAUGAUGAUGAUGAUGAUGAUGAUGAUGAUGAUGAUGAUGAUGAUGAUGGUUAUGAUGUAUUGUUAGGACUCAGCCCCACAGAUUUUAAGGUUAGGAAGAAGGGAUGUGACAUGACUCCGGUCUCCAUUUUCCUUCAGGGAUCUUGAAGGAAACCACAUCCGUUCUCUGCAACGUUCGGACUUCCGGGGUUGCGGCGAGAUCACUGUUUUGUGAGUGUGUUUCUCCUUCCUUUCCUUGUAACCAGGAAAAAUGUUCUGGGAAAAUAUAGGAUCUGAGUCUGGGAAAUAUAGGAUCUGGUUUCUUCUGUGUUGAGUACAGUGGGAGGUCUACAAGGUUGAGUCUUUAUAUGGCUCUGGAGCAUCACAACCACCAUCUACUAAUUCUCUACCAGAAGGUCCAUUUUGGAGGAUAAACUUAGAAAUAUAGGUUCUUGGAAAUAUGCUUAAAAAUAUAGGAUCUGUAUAGAGUACAGUGCAAGGUCUACAAAACUGAGUCUUUAUAUGGGUAGGGAGCAUCAUAACCACCAUCUUCUAGCUCUCUACCAACCAAAAGAGGUCCAUUUGCGUUGGAUAAACCCUUACCUUGUGCUUAGAAAAAUAGGAUCUCACCUUGGGAAGUAUGGGAUUGAGUUUCAUCUGUAUGGAGUUCAAUGUGAGACCUACAAAGGGGUGUGUGUGUCUUCAUAUGGUUAUGGAACAUCACAACUACCAUCUCCACCUUCUUCUAGCUCUCUACCAACCAAAUGAGGUCCAUUUGGGGGGAUAAACAUUUACCUUGUGCUAUAGGUUCUGAUUGCUUCUGUCGUUUCUUCUCUGUGGAGGUCAAUGAGAGGUCCACAGGAUUGGAGAUGAGCUGUUGUGAAGGCUAUCAAGUGAUGUCCAACUCUAUGGUCCUCUCCUUGAUCUCCAGACAGAAGAAACCACCAGC